UCUCUCCUCCACCCCCUCUCCUUGUUCAGGAAUUCUAUGCUAACAUCCAUGACAUUGAUGGGUCCUCGUUUCGGUCUUUUCUACGGGGUCAUACUUUUAGGGUUACUCCUUCUGCCUUAGCUAGGGUUUUAGGUAUUCCUGAGAUUACCCAUCCUACAUACCCCUAUAUUUUACCCUCUUCUGUUCCGGCCGACUCCCUUGUUCGGUCGACGAUUUUGAACACUCCGUCUGUCGGGGGGCCUACGGCGAUGGCCACUGGGUCUUUACCUACUGAUCGCCAGGUUCUGUUGCGCACUGUGUGCACGAACCUUUGGCCUGUUGCCCA
rnacentral:lncRNA from 1 species